CGGGCGCCGAGGCGCGGGGCCAGGUCCGCAGUUUCCAGUCUGGACCGCGUCUGCGAGCCGGGGCGGAGCCGGAGCGGGAGCCCUCGUGCCCCCACCCCACGGAUUCCGGUUCCCCGGAGACCGGUCCAGACGCGCCCGCCGCCUCUGCCCCCUCCGAGCGCCCUCACGGGCAAGUUGGGGCUCCCUCUUCAGAUCCAAGGACUCCUGUCAACACCAACACUCGCCGUGGGAAUUUCCGGCGGGGUCACCUUCCUGCCGCCGAAGAGAGAGAUCCAGAUCUUUCCAGGCGGGCAGGAUCCAGAUGUUUCCAGCCCCCGGAACCAGGCAGUCCUGAAGGGCCGAGGGGUCACUUCUCCAGGCCUGGGACACCCACGAGUCUUGGGCAAAGGGGACGGAAGACACAGCCAGGCCCAGGCUCGUCGUGACUUGUGCGCUCAGACCUCCGACCCUUGCCGUCCGGAGCCCCGAGCUGACGGGACGAUCCAGCCCCCGCCCCCCUCGAAGCCCAGGGAGGCGUCAGAAAUCACCCGCACGCAGCUCAGGCCCUUCCCUGGCUACGCCGCCCAGAGAUCUCGUCUUCAAAUGUGCCUCCUUUGUGAGCCCCCCCCCCGGGUCCCCACAGCCCCAAACGGAGGGCCUCCUGGCAGGGAGCGGCUUGUCCUUGCGUGUAUGUGUGUGUGUGUGUGUGUGUGUGUGUGCACGCGCGUGUGUGCCCGGCCUGUGGGAUGACGCCAGGAGCGCCACACGCUUGCGGCGAAUGAUGAGCAAAGGAAGAAGGCUGACGAGGGCGUGAGCUUCUCAACUCACACGGACUUAAACCGCAUCCCAGAACUUUGGAGCCAAGAGGGCCCAGCGCCCACCCAGCCCCUCCUCCAUCCCUGGGGGUCCCUUCCUAAUCUAUGCCAACCUGUAAACAUGGGAGGGUUUCAGCGUUUUACUUUAUUUACUCCUCGGGGGCCCCUGGGGGGCUCAGUCGGUUAAGAGUCCGACUUCGGCUCAGGUCAUGAUCUCACAGUUUGUGGGUUCGAGCCCCAUGUUGGGCUCUGGGUUGACAACUCGGAGCCUGGAGCCUGCUUCCGAUUCUGUGUGUCCCUCUCUCUGCUCCUCCCCCACUCACACUCUGUCUCUCUCUCUCUCUUUUAAAAAUAAACUUAAAAAAUUACUUACUUCUCUAAAUUUUCACCAUAAUAUUUGCUUGCUCAUAUAAAAAUUUGGAAAGAACAGAAAACAGUAAAGAACAAAAUGUAUAACCCGCCGACCUAAAGUAAGGGUUGUUAAUAUUGAGCAAAGUUCAGUCUUUUCUGUGCCUUGUGUUCUUCCUGCACAAUUCAGAUGAUAGGUUUCAGGGCCGCUGUAACGCGUGUGCACCUGAUAUUUCAUGUCUUGCUUAUUUCACUAAAGGAAAGCGCACAGAUACAUUACACCUCAUCCCGUUAGCACAUCCACAGCCGGUGUCAGGGCCCAGCUCCGCGCGGGCCACGCUCUCGGGCACCGGUCAGGUGCGCUGGUCCCCGGCCACUGCCCUGAGCCGCGCAGUGCGUGUGGCUGGGGACAGAGCUUCCACACGCCGCACCGGACGUGGCCUCUGGAAGGGCCGCGUCUCCGCCAGCUCAGGUGCAAGGGACGCAGAUGUGCGCUGGGCUCCAAAGGCCGCACCCCUGGUGUCUGGACGCCAAGGAAGGGAGCUGAAGGUGGUGACCGACCCAGAGCCUCCACGGAGCCCAGCACGUGGUGGGUGAAUGGACGGACGGACGGACGGGUGAGUGGUGCCAGGCGGGCGGGCAGCGGGCUGUGCCUUCCGUGGGCCCCGCUCCGUGACCGCCGCGGCACAGAACCCAGGACUCUGGGGAAACCGGGAACGUAGUGUGUUAGUGCAGGACACAUUCCGCGCCCAGGCGGCCG
rnacentral:lncRNA from 1 species